rnacentral:rRNA from 1 species
UACGGAGGGUGCAAGAGUUACUCGGAAUCACUGGGCGUAAAGGGCGCGUAGGCGGCCUAGCAAGUCUGGUGUGAAAGCCCAGGGCUCAACCCUGGAAGGGCACUGGAAACUGUUAGGCUUGAGUUCCGGAGAGGAGGUGGGAAUUCCCGGUGUAGCGGUGAAAUGCGUAGAUAUAGGGAGGAAUACCGGUGGCGAAGGCGCCCCUCUGGACGGAAACUGACGCUGAGGCGCGAAAGCGUGGGGAGCAAACAGG